rnacentral:lncRNA from 1 species
UUCCCUACACCAACUCUUUUAAAGAUUUGAAAUUCAAGUGUCCAAACCUUGCAUGCCAAAGCCAAGAAGUAUCUUAGCAAUUCACCAAGUAACAAACAGGUUUGUCUUCUGACAUGAGCCAACAACCUUUGUUGUCGAUUAUCUAUCUUCAUGAUCCCAUCCUCGCUUGGAAAUUUGAAGCCAUUUUCAUCCAACUGCCCCAUGCUUAUUGUAUUGUUCUUCAAUUUUUGAAUAUAAUAAACUCCAGUCAAGAGUCGAUGCUCACCGUUUUGACAUGAGAGUAAUACCGAUCCCCUGCCUUGUAUCUCUAUCGACGUUGUGCAAGUCGGCGCUCAUCUUCACGAUCAUCGGGAACAUCGCGAACCUUCGCUCCCUCUCUCUCGACAAGUUAGAUGUGGCCCGCGGCUUCUAAUCCAAGGAGAAUAGGGCCACUACUUGUUCCGGAGCCUGAUUACUUUGGCCUCCAUCGACUCGGCUCCACAAUCCUUACUCUAGCUUUUGAGGAGCAACAUCCACUUUACUGCCGCUAAGUUCUCUUAACCCUUAUGUUCUUUCCGUUACUUGAUAGGAUUUGUAGUUUUUAACAAGUGUUUUUCGUUUGGUGUGAAGACGUGACCAAGGCCGCCGAGUAUCGGCAAAAUCUCCACCACUGCCACAACUAUAUGAUGGCCGAUACCAUCACGGGUCGGGUGGAGAGCACCGACGUUGUCACUCUCUGUGAGCUGGCCUGUUGUACGCCUGCGUAGCAAGGGAGCCAAUCCACCUCGAGAACAUCUUGGCCCUCACCCUCAGAACCUUCGGCAUCAACCCUUCUUUGAAGGUCCUUCCCUGUGGUGCCUAUAUCAUUAGGUUUGCGUGCCAUGUCAACCUCCUCCACCACUUCUCCCAGGUCUGCAACCACCCUUUGUCCCGCAUCGGCAAGAUUACUUUGUUGAACAUGCGGAUGCUACAGAGGAUCCACCACAGUGUCCAGAUGCUCCUGGUAGAGGCAGUUAUUGUUGGGGAAGCCCAACCUAAGAAGGGGGGAUUCUCCGGUGGCACCACCAACUCCUUGCCAGUGAAGGGGUACAAACUCGAGGGUGCCAACGGUGAUCAAUCAACAGUAGACGCAGCUGAACUAGCACCUCAAUUUAUUGGACUCCAGGCUAUAAUGGAUCCAGGCUAGUCUAACUCUCCAUUACCCGGAUUGGCCUGCUUCUCCCGUUUUCACUUCGCUCAACCCAAAUGUUGUUGACCAGGAGGAGGAGGAUUACUGAGUUUAGGUCCUCGGCGGUGUUGUUAUUUUCCUUUCUUUUCCCCUUUCCUCUUUUCUGACCGAAACAUGUAUGGACAACGAUUCGACUCGUUAUUUCUACAUUCUAAUUCAAACUUUCUCUAUGUUUUCCCAAUGUAUCGUAUGCGUUCCUAGAGCUGCUACUGUCUUCAACACCAACAUGUAGGGUCCUUAACGGGCUUGACUGUUGUUCUUCAAAAAUUCCAUGAGCUCCUCCUACUGUCUUCAACACCAACGUGUCUUAGUGUCGUCUGCGACACACAAGGACCUAUCUAGCUUGGUUCUUGAUUAAACACCAGUGUCUCCCUAGAUGAGUGCAUUUUAGUCAAUUUAGUUAGUUUAAUGUUGUUCAGAAAACAUAACACCCUCGCUAAGCUUUUAAGUUUCUCGCUGCAUGAAAGGGUAAUUUAGUAAUUUACCUUGUUUCAGACGUGAUGAUGUAACACGGACCAACUGGAAAUGGAGAUUUCUUGGAUGAGCUUGAGUCAAGGGUCGGAGAUAGACCACGAUCGCCAUGUUUGAAUUCCUUCAUAGUUUGGACGUGCGUAUCUUGGGUUGCCUUCAUCUUCUCCGUGUAAAAUGUCGAACCGUCAUCCAUGUGGAGGUGUGGCUCCUCGAUGUUGUGCAAUUUUGAUGUCCCAUCCUUGACCUUAUAGAAAAUUUUCGAGUGAGAAGGAUGGUCUUUGAGCUCGAGUUCUGGUGGUUCUUCAUGCAUAUUCUUAGCCUUAGAAUCACUAGAUGGGACUAGAUUGAUAACAUGCACUCCCUUGAUCGAAAGAGCUUCAGUUUUUCACUAUCAUGUUUCAUAAAAUCGCUGAAGGAUAAAUCCAAUGCAUCUUGACGAAGUAAAUCAAUGAUAAAAAAUGCAGGAUCCAUGUUGUUAGAACCAUCACUUCAUCAUCAAGUUGGGCGACCUAUUGUUUCAUGCCACGAGUCAAGUCAAAAGUACCUUAUCUUGAUCUACUCAUAACGUAAGUUUACCCUCGAACACGUCUACAAUCUCCUUAGACGUGUCGAGGAAUGGCCGCCCCAAGAUAAAAGAUACACUUGUGUCUCUGGUGUCAAACCAUAAUAAAAUCAUCUGGAAAAUCAAACUUGCCAACACGCACAUUAACAUAUUUUUCUUGAGGAACUUGGAUAAUUGAGACAUCUUUUCUAUCGCCUCGGUGAAAAGAAUGGUGAAGUUCAUACUUUGAAGACGAUGAAAAAAUUGCUUAAUGCUCUUCUCAACUAGGUCAUUGUCGAACCGGUUGGGAUAAGACAUCUUCGUCUUUACAAGCUAAAGCGGGCUUUGAGGUAGGAUGAGUCGCAGUUGAGCUCGUCGUAACCUUAUUGGAGUAUACUUCAGUGGAAUCUUGGACUUCCCCAUGUCCUUGGGAGCCUUAAUCGUGGUUAUACAGUGUGUAUGGGUGAUCUAGUACAAGCAAUGAGAAGUAUUUUAACAUUUCAGGACAACUCAAGAAGCGUAGGCAAGGAUUUUGACUUGGUCGGAAAACGUCACAAUUUUGUAUUUUAGACAUAUCUCCUAGCUCAGAAGUCUGAUUGAUGCAAGGCUAGUGCGAUUGGAAAGGUAGUGCAAUAUUCUACGACUUCUAUGAAAUAAGUUCUGCCCCCGAAAGUGUUAAUGUGCGAUAUAAAAUGUGCAAAUGUGCGGCGCCCAUAUUUCAACAUCCUUCAGCAAUAAGGAUUUCGUCUACUAUUUAAAGACCAACACCCCUUGAUUCUAAAAGGGAGCCUUUUGGAUAAAAAUUGGGGAGAAUGUUGGAAAUAUUGUGUGGAUGGAAUUGCGUCUUUACGAUUUCCAACGUACCUAAUAAAAUUGGGAUUAAAGUUCACGUGGUGCGAGAUUGUGUACAUUGUCGAAUUUGUCACGUAAGUAGUCUUAACGAUCUGAUUGUCUUCGAUUGAAUGAUGUUUGAUAGAGUCGUCAGCGAACUCACUCUUCAUAAUGCGAAUUUCUACCCUUUUCGAAACCCCGGGUUACAAGAAAUCACUUAUAAGAUAAAACUGUCGACCUUCAUAAUCUAACUUAUCGAAAAAUGAAGCCACUUUUGAGACGAUUUGAGAGGAUGAAGAUUUACGGGUCGUUUGAAUUUCAGAUUUCAAAUGAAGAAAUUUGAAAUACCUAGUGAUUUGAAAUCACUAAUGAUUUCAAAUAGCUAGUAAUUUCGUAAAUAACUUAGGGGUCGUUUGGUAUGCGAUAUCUCGAACAUCGUGACAUUGGACGAUAUUGAUAUUGAGGGGAGUAAAUGAAGAAAUUGUUGUUUCGUAUGGCUUUGUGUCAGAUUACUAAUUUACCCUCAACUUUUUUAAAGUUUGACCUAUGGGUUUGAUCAACUCCCCUUCUUAUUCGGAACAAGUCGUGGUUUCACAAAACGUCACUCUCCUGAAAAUUCUCUGAUUUCAUAACUCCACUCUCUCUCGAUUAUGCCGCCUUGUCGAUCGUCUUCACAAUCUUGCCGUUGCCAGAGUAUCCUCUCAUAAUCUAUCAUCACGGUUCAUCAGCAAAAAACCCAGGUAAAGUUCUUUGAUUUUCUUUUAUGUGUCCUUUAUAUAAUCAGUCGAUUCGGGCCUCGAAAUUAGGGUUCAUCCAGAUCUGUAUUUGGUGCGGUUGGUAAUUACGGUUUAGCUUUAGGGUUUCGAAUUGGAUUUUUUUGUUACAGACAUGUAUCUAUUGUCCUAGUUUGUUCUUCAAACCUAGAUCCUCGAUUGUAGUUUCAAAUUUUUUUGUUACCAGAGAUGUAUCCACCAUCGCUUAUUGUUUGUCUCUUCCACAUGAUUAAUUAUUUAGGUUGCUUGUUGAUUUCCUAAAUGUUGUGUUCUGAGUUGCCUGCAAUUGUUAUGAGCGUUUUGUGUUUGGAGAGUUUUAUAGUUCCUCAGCUUUAGGGAUGACUGGAUUGAGUGUCAUUCCUAUGUGUGGGUGUAUUCACUAGAGCUUUCGCACAAUGUGUAUUCACUAUAGCAUCCACCCGGUGAAACUCUGGUUCCUUCCGCAGCUACUUCGGUUUUCGAAAGAGUAAUGGUGGUUGUGGCACUUUCAUCUGGUGCAAGGUAAAGGAUAACAAUGAUCCAAACGAAGAAGAUGGAGUUCACGUCUACGACGAGCUGGUUUUAACUAACAAAGAAUUGGACUUGAGGAAGCAUAAGUUGAGGGUGAAGAACACGAACCACAAGGACCAUACCCAGUAAUUGGAGGAUAGGAUUUACUGCCUGUAACUAGAUGAGAACGAUCUCUUCCUUGACGAUGGUGAUUGGUGAGAGGUAUUUGCUGGGUGUCAUAAUGGUGAUUUACAUUUACCAUCUUCUAGUAUAAUGAUGAUGGUUGGAAGCUUAUUUUCUAUUGAAGUACUUGUUCGGUACUAGCGUAUUGGUUUAUCAUGCAUUAUUGACUACCAGACUAGUUAAUUAGGUACUUGAUGUAAUAUUUAGGAUUGUUGUAUUCCCUAGCCACUCGUGAUUAUAAGAACCUGAGACUUGUUCAUUAGGGUAUUGAGUAUUGUGAUGAAUGGUCUAGUUGAUUAAGUAUUUCUUGUUAAAUAUGUUUUUGUGUGAAUUUUUAUCACCGUCUUGUUCAACCGGUUUUUGCUGGUUGAACGAUUUCUUCUGCGAGUAAUAACUUAUGCUAUUCAGGUGUAGCCAAGUCAUUUGUUUUUUCUUCUUCUUUGUAAUUGAUGUUAGACCUUGUUUGUGUUACGGACCUUUGCUAUGAAAACAUAGACUUAUGAAUCAUGUCGGCAUGUUAGAAUUGCUCCAGGUACUUAGCAAACGGCAAUCAACAAUGUUGCCUCAAAUACUGACCCUAACCUCAAAACACUACAUUAAAAAACCUGAUACCAGAAUAUGCAGUUGGACAUGUUGUUCCCUGCCAAAAUAACAAAACAUCCUACAAUUAGCUAGUAUAACUUCAAAUUCAGUUAAGGGUCUUACGAUUAAGUGGUACACACCACUAUCUAUGAUAAGUUUAUUCGUCAUACACUUAAGUGGUACACUCCGCUAUCUACAAUAAGUAGUCAGGUUGAUUGGACGGUACUUAAUACUUUGUUCCUACGUACAUGGAGCAGAGCUUUACUCCCAAAACCCUACUAGCCAAUAGUAGACCCCCUAACCGACAAACUAGUCGACAACGGUAGAGAUGAAUUAUGCUUUCAUCUCAUCAAUCCGCAUAGCGAAGAAGGUCUCCAAAUCAGGUAGCUUGUUAAAAAGCAACCUGCAAGCCUUGAUACUCAUCAAUCUCGUCACACCUGGCACACGUGCCAGCACGUCCAUCAUAAAUUGGCGUUUCUCUGCUAUGUCAUCCUGAAGGCACAAGCUAUUACUCAAGG